UUCCGGUUGAUCCCGCCGGACCUGACUGCUAUCGGAUUGAUACUAAGCCAUGCGAGUCUUUGCAGUAAUGCAAGGCAUACGGCUCAGUAACACGUAGUCAACUUACCCUAUGGACGAGGAUAAUCUCGGGAAACUGAGCAUAAUACUCGAUAGAUCAUAAUGCCUGGAAUGGUUUAUGGUUAAAAUGAUUCGUCGCCAUAGGAUGGGACUGCGGCCUAUCAGCUUGUUGGUGAGGUAAUGGCCCACCAAGGCGAUUACAGGUACGGGCUCUGAGAGGAGAAGCCCGGAGAUGGGUACUGAGACAAGGACCCAGGCCCUAUGGGGCGCAGCAGGCGAGAAAACUUUGCAAUGUGCGAAAGCACGACAAGGUUAAUCCGAGUGAUUUCUGCUAAAGAAAUCUUUUGCAAGUCAUAAAACCACUAGUGAAUAAGGGGUGGGCAAGUUCUGGUGUCAGCCGCCGCGGUAAAACCAGCACCUCAAGUGGUCAGGAGGAUUAUUGGGCCUAAAGCAUCCGUAGCCGGCUCUGUAAGUUUUCGGUUAAAUCCAUGUGCUCAACGCAUGGGCUGCCGAAAAUACUGCAUAGCUAGGGAGUGGGAGAGGUAGACGGUACUCGGUAGGAAGGGGUAAAAUCCUUUGAUCUAUCGAUGACCACCUGUGGCGAAGGCGGUCUACCAGAACACGUUCGACGGUGAGGGAUGAAAGCUGGGGGAGCAAACCGGAUUAGAUACCCGGGUAGUCCCAGCUGUAAACGAUGCAGACUCGAUGAUGCAUUGGCAUAUAGCCAGUGCAGUGUCGCAGGGAAGCCGUUAAGUCUGCCGCCUGGGAAGUACGUACGCAAGUAUGAAACUUAAAGGAAUUGGCGGGGGAGCACCACAAGGGGUGAAGCCUGCGGUUCAAUUGGAUUCAACGCCGGG
rnacentral:rRNA from 2 species